UCGGCCAUAAACAAAGGGAGUAAAGAAGAAAACUAUAUAUGUUUGCAUUUACAUUUCACAUUACGUCUCUCUAACCGUGACCAACACCGACGACCCGACCCUACCCGUAUGGACUUCCGGAUGUGGUUCCUGGGUCUUCUCUCAUGUGCCCUCCUCUCAUUUCUCAACCAAUUCUUCUCCUACAGAACUGAGCCUCUCAUCAUCACCCAAAUCACUGUCCAAGUCUCAACCCUCCCUAUUGGUCACUUCAUGGCCAAAGUGCUCCCAACAAACAAAUUCCACAUACCCGGGUUCAGGUCCCGGUCCGUUUCUCUCAACCCGGGUCCUUUCAACAUAAAAGAGCACGUCCUCGUUACCAUAUUUGCUAAUGCUGGAAGUGCUUUUGGACUUGGCUCAGCUUAUGCUGUUGGGAUUGUCAACAUAAUCAAAGCGUUUUAUCGCCGGAAAAUCUCUCUUCUGGCUGGUUGGCUCCUUGUCAUCACUACCCAGGUGUUAGGAUAUGAUUAGAUUGGACUGUUAAGGAAAUAUGUUAUUGAACCCGCCCAUAUUUGGUGGCCCAACACACUCGUUCAGGUCUCGCUUUUCCGAUUGCAGAGUAAUAAUCAGCGACAAACUCCCAUCAUUAGUUGCACUUGGCAAUAACAAUGCCAUCCCAUCCCAUGGAUAUGCACGACCAGGCCCCAUGAAAAUGGGUCGACCC